rnacentral:lncRNA from 1 species
CGCCUUUUCUUAAUUCGUAACUAAGAAUGAUCAUAACCAGAGCUGUGUUUUAAAAUGAAUUCUCCACUUUUGAGAAAUUUAUAUUGUUAUUAAACUUAACCGCUUAUAAUUAGUUGCCUCUUGGUUGAUUUUAUACAUUAUAUUUUAAGUAACAGUGACUGGUCAUUUCAUUUUGUAUUGGUUUUUUUUUUCGAUUCGUUCCAAUUUUCUUUCCUUUCGCACUUUACAGGUAUCCCUCUCUUCACCUCUUUUAGUUUUUAUCAUUUAGUGAAAUCAACUUCACAAAUAUAUCAUAUAAUAUAUUCAUAUAACAAAAGACACGUUUAAAACUCUUGACUUGUCUUAUUCGGUCCUAUUUAAUAAAGAGUUACGAC